UACGUAGGGUGCGAGCGUUAAUCGGAAUUACUGGGCGUAAAGCGUGCGCAGGCGGUUUGUUAAGCCAGAUGUGAAAGCCCCGGGCUCAACCUGGGAACUGCGUUUGGUACUGGCAAGCUAGAGUACGGCAGAGGGGGGUGGAAUUCCACGUGUAGCAGUGAAAUGCGUAGAUAUGCGGAGGAACACCGAUGGCGAAGGCAAUCCCCUGGACCUGUACUGACGCUCAUGCACGAAAGCGUGGGGAGCAAACAGG
rnacentral:rRNA from 1 species